rnacentral:tRNA from 1 species
AAGAUUAAAUAAAAAAUUAGGCUUCUAACCUAUUGUUAAUGAUUAUUUCAUUUUAAUCUUUUA